UAGAUCAUUAGUAGCCAUGGUUUAGACAAUCCGAAAAAGAAUUCAUGUAACAUCCAGCCCACUGUCCCAAUUCUCUUUCCCUAUAAUGCAUGAGAGCAUGCAGGAUCCAUAUCAAGGCGCGAAAUUAGACUGUUAGGACUCGAACUCAUAAAUACUACAAACAGAUAUGAUGGGAUCCAUAUCAAGGCGCGAAAUUAGACUGUUAGGACUCGAACUCAUAAAUACUACAAACAGAUAUGAUGGGAUCCAUAUCAAGGCGCGAAAUUAGACUGUUAGGACUCGAACUCAUAAAUACUACAAACAGAUAUGAUAGAAAGUCAAUGCCUAACACUUUCGUCACCCCUUGGGUGUACAUGAAUUUUCUAUCUCGAAAAUCAGUAAAGAAUUGUUUUCUAUAUGUGUAUGAGUUUACUAAAGAAAUAGAAUUUAAGAACUAAAAUAAAAAAUAAAAAAAUAAACCCUUUAGGUGUGGUUGUUGGAACUUGUCAACGGAGCAUUGACUGAAAAUGAAUGAUAAUUUUUUUUUUUUAUAUAUAAUUUGUCAUGCGCUCAGUGAGGUUAUGGAGAAUAGAGGAAAGGGCAAUGGUGAAUCUCAGAGAGCUUGAGAUUGUGGAGUGCAAGCGCUUGACGAUUGUUCCAAGAGGCUUAUGGCCUGUAACUUCUCUAUGCAGCUUGAAGUUGGGGUUUAUGGCUCAUGAUUUUGAAGUGAAGGUUCAAGAACGCCUAGGGGAGAAUUGGUAUACAAUAGACCAUGUACUUCCUAUAUAAGGAUUAUGCAGGACGCUUUUGACAAUAAAUAUUGCAAAAAGGGUGAGUCGGAUACACUACCAAAAUCACCACAUGAAGCCAGGUAUUCAAACUCUGGCGGUUUGAUUAAUACUAUCUCAUCCUCAAUCACUUGCUCGAUGGCUUUAGCUUAUCUAGAUACUUGGUUUAUCAUAUGUUAUGGAAUACUUAUUUUUUUGGUGAAUACUUGAUUAUCACUUGUUGAAACCCAUUGUAUCUUUUAUAUAAACAUAUCAUGUAAUCUUCCUUCAGAUAAUUAGCUAUAAUGCUGGGAAGUGUGAUAAUUUUGAAUUUUUUGGUAA